CUGGUAGGUUUCUACUCCCCAGCCAGGUAGUAAACUCGCUUCCCGGCACACACAAAGCACGGUACAAAAACAGGGCGUCACUCCAAAUAGAACUAAACUCAAGCACCAUGUAACCUGCUACGCCCGCAAAGACUGAAGCUUUCGUUGGAUCUCUUUUGUACUUUUAUACCUUGUAUGUUUGUGUUCGUGUAAAUGUAUGAUGUCUGACGAAGUACCAACCCCUGUCCACCUAGUGGUCCCCUCCGCCUCCCUUAAAUCCGUUACUCCGGCCCCUACGGAGUCGGACGAGACGGACGAUCUCAUGCUCCGUUGGGAGGAUCAUCACAAAAGUUUUUUCGAGCUUGCCGAGGACCUGUGCCAUCAAGAACAGUUUAUAGAUGUAACCAUAUCAUGUGGAGAUCAAAAUUUUCCCGCACAUAAACUUAUUCUCUCCGUGUGCAGUCCGUAUUUUAAAAACCUGUUCCUACGAAACCCUUGUAAACAUCCGAUUGUUGUUCUCAAGGAUGUACAUUUCAAGUACAUGAAGCUUCUCCUAAUAUUUAUGUACCGAGGCGAGGUUGCAGUUCCCCAGGAAGAUCUCCAUGGUUUGCUCAGAGUUGCGCGAAGUCUCCAGGUGCGAGGAUUGGCUGAGAUGGGAUCUCCGAACCCGGCUCAGAUCUCGCCAAGGAAACGCUAUCUCUCCGAGAUGAUGGGAGACUCUGAUCUCGAUUCCAACGGAGAGUUUUGCAUCGACGAUGUAAAAUCCCGACUCCACGGACAGUUGGAGAUUCAGGCUGUGUCCGGAGCUAGUCCCAGCUCUCUACCCCGUACUCCUCCUCUAUCCUGGAGCAAAUAUUUGCCAGCUCCAUCCCACUUUGAUGAUCUGAACGCUGCUCCACGAUCCUCCAGAUCGGAGUCAGCUCCGUCCGAGGAUGAGCCACAUUCUCAGUUUCAAAGUUGUAAACGUGAGGUUCCUGAUUCCUGGACUAUGGCUGACAGCGGCUCCGAGGAUCAAAACCAUCAGGUUGAGAAUAGACGAGAAAGAGCAAGAUCUGGCGACGAUCUGCUGCAAGACUAUCACGCGAUGAUGAAACGAGACAGGACGGAACAGAAGUCUAAACUGGAAUACAACGCAAAGAAGCUGGAGUAUGAUGGUAAGAAGGUUGAGGUUGAGGAGAGAUCUAAACCUGGAUUAUCAAACUCAACCUUGUUAGACGCUGCUAGAGCAGCAGGCCUCGAACUACCAACUUCAAACACGGAUCCGAUGUCGUCAAUAUCCGCCCUACUCGCCGCAGCAAAGGCUACCGGAGGCCUGCCUCCGAGUUCCUCCACCCCUCCGACCUCCAGCACCACCUCCGGAGCUCAAUCCAACCCUGCAAAUCAGGGUCUUGAUCUCAGUAAUCCAGCAGCUGCAAUGGCAAAUGUCAACGCCCAGAUGCAGCUGUACUACUACAUGCAGAAGCUGCAGAGUGCCGGGAUGGGGAACCCGAAGGAGAGGAAGGAGUGCCCUAUCUGCGGGAAAACUUUGUACGACAGAUCAACAUGGAACAGGCAUAUGCGGAUUCACACUGGUGAGAAACCGUAUCCGUGUCGGUACUGCGGGCGCAGAUUCCGCACAAAUUAUAACAAACUUGGACACGAGAAGAAGUGCCCUGACCGGCACGCCAGGGCUCUCCUUCAGCCGGCGCAACCCGAAAGUACGACUGCAGUUCCUAAUGUUGUCUACAGAUAGUACUGCUCAAUCCACAACAUGAAUCUCGUAUCUUGAAACUUGCAGGUUUCAGGACUACGUCUCAGAAUCUCAGGAUGUUCCCCCAUAUCUCCUCUCUCUCUCAUAUACCAGUGAAUAGUUUAGUCUCAGAACACGGAGAAGUAUUUUUAUUGUAAUCUUGAAUCAAAAGCUAGAAACGGCUGCUCGGAAUAUGAUCUCUAACUUUUGGAAAAUUCCAUUGAAACCAAAUCAAAUCAUCAGAAGAUAUUGAUCUCUGUUCCUAUGUAUCUUUAGACCAGGAGAAAUCCGUUACGACCCUGAAAUCCCUGUUCUCCCUUUUCUUUUCGGAUAUCGUCUUGGUUCGAAUAUCUCAAAACGGAAGAACCGUCCUGAAACUAUUUAUCAAAACUGCUCCUUAACUCCAAUACAAGACAGUGAAGGUCUUUAUUAAAUGUUUGCUCAGUCAAUGUUCCCUUGCUGCUCAUAUCAGAUUCAUGACUCCUCGUGGUCGAAUUCUACUGCUGAAUGUUGCCCUUUCUCAUAAAAUUAUGCAGUUUAACUGAUGAAUAUUUGAUCUCUUGCAAAAUUUCAACCCGCGCUCAGAUUUGCAAUAACUUGUAAAAAUCAAAUUUAAUGUCCCGUAUAAAAACAGUGCCAAGCUGAUCUUCUAAAGAUCGGCCAUUCCGAGCUAUGCAUCUUUUAUACAUUUUUCAAAACCGUGUUGAUCUCAAUUUAUAAAGUUUCAAGCCAAAACAUAUCCUAUAAACUCAAACUUAGAAGAUUUGGUUCUGUGCACAUCCAAUGCGCACGAAACCUUCUUAGAAAAGUACAAGUUUUCAUGUACCGAACUGUACAAGUCUGGAUGUAUGAAUAUCUUUAACCGUACUAACUCCGGUAUCUGCUGAACUGCAGACGUAGUUGUGCGGUAAAGAACGGAAUGAUCGAUGGAAUGUUUAUAUUUUUAUAUAGAAUGUUUAGUUUUAAGGAAAUACUGAAAAGGAUUUUUUUCUUCAAAGAUAAAUGGAAUCUUUGGACUUAUUGAGCUUUGGGGUUAGGACUAUAGAACCAGACUACUGUAAGGCUAGAGCACCGCACUAGGAUUAGAUCACCGGACUACGGUAGGAUUACAGAACUGGACGACUGUAGGAUUACAGAACUGGACUACUGUAGGACAAGAGAACCGGACUACUGUAGGAAUAGAGAAUUAGAGUACGGUAGGACUAGAAAGCUGGACUAAUGUAUGACUGUAGGACUAGAGAUCUGGACGUAUGACUGUAUGACUAGAAAGCUGGACUAAUGUAGGACUGUAUGACUAGAGAACUGGACUAAUGUAUGACUGUAUGACUAGAAAGCUGGACUAAUGUAGGACUGUAGGACUAGAGAACUGGACUAAUGUAUGACUGUAUGACUAGAAAGCUGGACUAAUGUAGGACUGAAGGACUAGAGAACUGGACUACCUUAUGACUAGAAAAUUGGGAUAGUGUAUCACUCGAUUACGACUUACGGACUACUAUUAAGUAUUACUGUAGUUGAAAAGUUCUUAAAUCCUCAAGUAUUAGCAGCUUAAACCUUCCUUAUGUCAAAUAAGACUCAAAAUCUCGCUUUUAGGCAGCUAACCUUAAACCAGAUAUAUUUCAGUAUUGUCUAUUUUUGUUCAAUUCAGACAGAAUUUUUAAAACUAAUUUAUUUAUAAAAAUUAUUUAUAUAAAUUUGAACUAAGCCUGAACUUGCCCCUUAAGUAUUUAUCACGGGACACAUUGUAAAAUAACGUUCUUUUGUACUUAUUCAAACAGUUUUUCCUUUUGUGUACAGAAUUAUACCUGGAGAAGGUUUUGUAAACCUUCUCUUUGCUCCGAUACUGGUGAAACCUGUGUUCCUUAUUAUAUUUUAAACAUGAAAUACCAGGGCCAAGUUGCAUGUGAGAACAGUUGAGUGUGAUUUAAAAAAAUACAUUUAAAAAAUCUUUAAAAAUCCAAUAUGCAACUUGGCUAUGUAAAAUCUCUAUUUUUUCAUUUUUCUAAUCUCCAAUGGGGCCAAAAAUAACCCUCCGAAUCAUUUCGGAUUAACAAUUAAAGAAAAAAGACAAUUAUUUAUAUAUUCAACUCGAGCUUUUCAUGUAUUCUCUUGUUUGUGCAGGAUGUCUAUGCAAUUAUUGUAAAGUGAAACAUUUCUUUGCUUUUAGCGGUCUUUUCGACCUUUUUUUAUUUAUUGCAAUAAUCCCAAGUAUUUGUAUUUUGUAGUCUUCCUGGCUUUAUAAAGUUUUCUACUGUUUAUACCACCAUCUUAACUUUAUACCUAAUACUUUUUUAUCAAUAAUAAAAAGACAAAGAUGCCUGA